GACAGAGGGUGCAAACGUUGUUCGGAAUUACUGGGCGUAAAGCGCGUGUAGGCGGCAGGGCAUGUCGGAUGUGAAAUCCCGUGGCUCAACCACGGAAGUGCACCCGAAACUGCCCAGCUUGAGUCUCGGAGAGGAAGGCGGAAUGCUUGGUGUAGAGGUGAAAUUCGUAGAUAUCAAGCGGAACACCGGUGGCGAAGGCGGCCUUCUGGACGAUGACUGACGCUGAGACGCGAAAGCGUGGGGAGUAAACAGG
rnacentral:rRNA from 1 species